rnacentral:rRNA from 1 species
UGGGGAAUCUUGCACAAUGGACGAAAGUCUGAUGCAGCGACGCCGCGUGAGCGAUGAAGCCCUUCGGGGUGUAAAGCUCUUUCGACGGGAACGAUAAUGACGGUACCCGGAGAAGAAGCUGCGGCUAACUACGUGCCAGCAGCCGCGGUAAUACGUAGGCAGCGAGCGUUGUUCGGAAUUACUGGGCGUAAAGAGUGUGUAGGCGGUGUUCCCAGUCUGUUGUGAAAUCUCCCGGCUUAACUGGGAGGGUGCAGCGGAAACUAGAAUGCUAGAGGGUGGGAGAGGUAAGCGGAAUUCCUGGUGUAGCGGUGAAAUGCGUAGAUAUCAGGAGGAACACCUGUGGUGUAGACAGCUUACUGGACCACUUCUGACGCUGAGACACGAAAGCGUGGGUAGCAAACA